GACGAACGCUGGCGGCGUGCUUAACACAUGCAAGUCGAACGGAAGGGCCCUGCUUUUGUGGGGUGCUCGAGUGGCGAACGGGUGAGUAACACGUGAGUAACCUGCCCUUGACUUUGGGAUAACUUCAGGAAACUGGGGCUAAUACCGGAUAGGAGCUCCUGCUGCAUGGUGGGGGUUGGAAAGUUUCGGCGGUUGGGGAUGGACUCGCGGCUUAUCAGCUUGUUGGUGGGGUAGUGGCUUACCAAGGCUUUGACGGGUAGCCGGCCUGAGAGGGUGACCGGCCACAUUGGGACUGAGAUACGGCCCAGACUCCUACGGGAGGCAGCAGUGGGGAAUAUUGCACAAUGGGCGGAAGCCUGAUGCAGCAACGCCGCGUGCGGGAUGACGGCCUUCGGGGUGUAAACCGCUUUCGCCUGUGACGAAGCGUGAGUGACGGUAAUGGGUAAAGAAGCACCGGCUAACUACGUG
rnacentral:rRNA from 1 species